GUGAACCCAAUAGUUAAUGGGUGCUCACUUGGUGAUGUGGAAAUAGAUGUUGUUUCUGAAAAGGUCAACUUAACUCCAGGAUGGAAAUGCACUAGGAUUGGAUCUGGGCCCAUCUGUCCCAGUGCUAGAGAAGCUGGAGAUGCUGAGGGCUGUGUCCUACUGCAACAGGCUUUCCACAGAGUGGGCCAAGAAUGUCUGAAGGUGCAUGAAGGUAGGAAGAUGCAAGAAGAGCACCGAGCAGCAUGACCUCCUAAGGAGACAGUGGCCUAAUGCAAGAUUGCACCUAUAGGGAAAGAAGAGGAAUACGAAGAAACAAGAUCAAGGGACACACCUCUUCAUCAGGGUGUCCAUCGAGGUCUGGUUAGGAAAUAGAGCCCAGGGUAAGACAUUCAGUAGGGGAAAUUUAAUUCAGAGAACUCAUAGGAAGGUCCUAGAGGGGCUGGAAGAUCCACAGGGUGCAAUGAAAGGAUGUAAGGAUUAGCAAUUGCAGUGAGCCAUCACCAAAAGUGGAGGACAUUAUGGGUGGAAUUGAAUCCCUCAAAAAGGAUAUAUCCAAUGUAGUGAUUAUCCAAUGGCAACAAAAGGGUUAAAACCCUGAGCAACAAAAAUCUCCCAUUAAAGCAAUCCUGCCCAGCACCUAAAUGACCAAAACAGCG
ensembl:lncRNA